AAACCAACAGGGAUUACCUCAGUAACGGCGAGUGAAGCGGUAACAGCUCAAAUUUGAAAUCUGGGUCUUUCAGGCUCCGAGUUGUAAUUUGUAGAAGAUGCUUCGGGUGCGGCUCCGGUCUAAGUUCCUUGGAACAGGACGUCAUAGAGGGUGAGAAUCCCGUAUGUGAUCGGUUGCUUGCGCCCAUGUGAAGCUCUUUCGACGAGUCGAGUUGUUUGGGAAUGCAGCUCAAAAUGGGUGGUAAAUUUCAUCUAAAGCUAAAUAUUGGCCAGAGACCGAUAGCGCACAAGUAGAGUGAUCGAAAGAUGAAAAGCACUUUGGAAAGAGAGUUAAACAGUACGUGAAAUUGUUGAAAGGGAAGCGCUUGCAACCAGACUUGCGCGUUGCUGAUCAUCCGGGGUUCUCCCCGGUGCACUCGGCCUCGCUCAGGCCAGCAUCGGUUUCGGUGGUGGGAUAAAGGCCUUGGGAAUGUAGCUUCUUUCGGGGAGUGUUAUAGCCCUCGGUGCAAUGCCGCCUACCGGGACCGAGGACCGCGCUUCGGCUAGGAUGCUGGCGUAAUGGUUGUAAGCGAC
rnacentral:rRNA from 1 species